GUACUCGCUUCGGCGGUACAUAUACUAAAAUUGGAACGAUACAGAGAAGAUUAGCAUGGCCACUGCGCAAGGAUGACACGCAAAAUUGUGAAGCGUUCCACAUUUUU
rnacentral:snRNA from 1 species